AGUUUUUAUCAUCAUUCUCCCUUCUAAAAACUCCCUGGUCACCGAUACGUUUUUUUUUUAAAACGUACUUUUUGAAAAAUUGUCUUUUGAGGUUUUCGAAAAAUCCUUGGUUCCAGGUUGAAAUGUGAUUUGUGUUUAAGGUUUUCUAAAAACUCCCUGGUCACCAAUACGUUUUUUUUAAAAACGUACUUCUUGAAAAAUUGUCUUUUGAGGUUUUCGAAAAUCAUUUUAUUUGGCAUCUAAAGAAUAACUGACUAUUUUUUUUAUAAAAAAAAUAAUAAUAAACAAUUAUUCCUUGAGUCCUUUAAAAAAAGUGAUUUUCUGUGGACACGCUAAAAAUCGAGACAGGAUCUGAAAUCAAAAAAACAAAAACAUUAUUACGAGGAUGUCACACAUUGAAAGGUCAUGAAACAAAAAUAUUUAAAAGAGAGGAAACAACAUUAUUUUAUAAAAAUGUCCAAGUUUCCAUUAUGUAGAGGUUGAUUAAAAGAAUAAAAUUCAAAAUGUCACUCUCAUCUUAAUUAUUUUAUUAAGCAUGUUUUACACGCACGCAAAUUUAUCAAGGAGAGUACACAAAACAAACUAUUUUUGAAUUUAAUGAUACAAAAUAGAACAAUAUAUUAAAAACUAAAUAAAUAAAUUUUUCCCAAUAAAGAUAUUUUAUUCAAUAAAUAUAUAAUAAUUAAUUUCAUCAUUGACAAAACUAAAUAAAUUUAUCAAUAUUCAAAUAUUUAAUUACAGUUUUAAUUUUAAGCGCUGUUUUGAAAUACGAAAUAAUUGCGUUGUUUUUGACCUAAUUACGCGUGUAAAAAUUAUCUUUAAAAAAACAAAUUAUUUUAAACGUUCAUGAUAAUGGUAAUUUUAAAUAUUUUAUAAACGUGAUGAGGACUAUAAAAGUAGUUUUUUUUUUUUGAAACUUUAUACAAUUUAAAUUUAAAGAAUAACUAAAUAGAAAAAAUUGAUUGACACGAUGAAUUGUCCUUCAUCAAACAUUGUACUGUGCCUCUUUUUAAUAUUUCUUUUUGUUAUUUUAGCGUCAAGUGAAACACUUCAGAGACUCAGGCCAUAUAAAUACAACGGCGGUAGGAGAUAAUCUGACUGUUAAAACUAGCCCAAACAGCGUGUUCAAAAAUAUGAGGGGUGAAAUAAUAAAAAAAAGAAUAAUAAAUAAUAAAAAAUAAAUUAAUUAAAGAAAAUAAUUUCAAUAGCAUAUUAUUUUGCACCCAUCAAAAAAAUUUUAUUUUGAAAAUGGUUGAAUAUAAUAAUUAUUUAUUUAAAAAAUAUGCAAACAAAAAUUAAUAAAGUUUUCUGAGAAUA